rnacentral:rRNA from 1 species
UACGUAGGGUGCGAGCGUUGUCCGGAUUUAUUGGGCGUAAAGAGCUCGUAGGCGGCUCAGUAAGUCAGAUGUGAAAACUCAGGGCUCAACCCGGAGACGCCAUCUGAUACUGCUGUGGCUUGAGUCUGGUAGGGGAUCACGGAAUUCCUGGUGUAGCGGUGAAAUGCGCAGAUAUCAGGAGGAACACCGAUGGCGAAGGCAGUGAUCUGGGCCAGUACUGACGCUGAGGAGCGAAAGCGUGGGUAGCAAACAGG